rnacentral:rRNA from 1 species
GACGAACGCUGGCGGCGUGCCUAAUACAUGCAAGUCGAACGCUUUUUCUUUCACCGGAGCUUGCUCCACCGAAAGAAAAAGAGUGGCGAACGGGUGAGUAACACGUGGGUAACCUGCCCAUCAGAAGGGGAUAACACUUGGAAACAGGUGCUAAUACCGUAUAACACUAUUUUCCGCAUGGAAGAAAGUUGAAAGGCGCUUUUGCGUCACUGAUGGAUGGACCCGCGGUGCAUUAGCUAGUUGGUGAGGUAACGGCUCACCAAGGCAACGAUGCAUAGCCGACCUGGGAGGGUGAUCGGCCACACUGGGACUGGGACACGGCCCAGACUCCUACGGGAGGUAGCAGUAGGGAAUCUUCGGCAAUGGACGAAAGUCUGACCGAGCAACGCCGCGUGAGUGAAGAAGGUUUUCGGAUCGUAAAACUCUGUUGUUAGAGAAGAACAAGGAUGAGAGUAGAACGUUCAUCCCUUGACGGUAUCUAACCAGAAAGCCACGGCUAACUACGUGCCAGCCGCCGCUGUAA